UACGGGGGGGGCAAGCGUUGUUCGGAAUUACUGGGCGUAAAGGGCUCGUAGGUGGCCAACUAAGUCGGACGUGAAAUCCCUCGGCUUAACCGGGGAACUGCGUCCGAUACUGGUUGGCUUGGAUUUGGGAGAGGGAUGCGGAAUUCCAGGUGUAGCGGUGAAAUGCGUAGAUAUCGGAAGGAACAUCAGUGGCGAAGGCGACUUCCUGGACCAAUACUGACGCUCAGGUGCGAAAGCGUGGGGAGCAAACAGG
rnacentral:rRNA from 1 species